AAUCUUUGUUUGCCAUUUUCUGCCUAUCAACAGAGAUAACUGGUUUGUGGCAGCCAAGCGUUCUUAGCGACGUUGCUUUUUGAUCCUUCGAAGGCGGCUCUUCCUAUCGUACUGAAGCAGAAUUCAGUAAGCGCUAGAUUGUUCACCCAAUAAUAGGGAACAAGACUUGGUGUUUAGUCCGUCGUGAGGAAGGUCGGUUUUAC
rfam:Mortierella elongata AG-77 unplaced genomic scaffold K457scaffold_44, whole genome shotgun sequence.